CACAGUCAAACUAGCUUAAGGAGUGUGGAAAACUUCUUCAGAAAAAGAAAUCUUACCGGUGAAAAUAUCCUUGUAGAUCAGCAUUUUUGAAGGAUGGGGCCAGUAACUGAAAUUACGAGAUUAAAAAUUCAAA
ensembl:ncRNA F25H2.16 ncRNA